rnacentral:rRNA from 1 species
GGAUGAACGCUGGCGGCGUGCCUAAUACAUGCAAGUCGAGCGAACGGACGAGAAGCUUGCUUUUCUGAUGUUAGCGGCGGACGGGUGAGUAACACGUGGAUAACCUACCUAUAAGACUGGGAUAACUUCGGGAAACCGGAGCUAAUACCGGAUAAUAUUUUGAACCGCAUGGUUCAAAAGUGAAAGACGGUCUUGCUGUCACUUAUAGAUGGAUCCGCGCUGCAUUAGCUAGUUGGUAAGGUAACGGCUUACCAAGGCAACGAUGCAUAGCCGACCUGAGAGGGUGAUCGGCCACACUGGAACUGAGACACGGUCCAGACUCCUACGGGAGGCAGCAGUAGGGAAUCUUCCGCAAUGGGCGAAAGCCUGACGGAGCAACGCCGCGUGAGUGAUGAAGGUCUUCGGAUCGUAAAACUCUGUUAUUAGGGAAGAACAUAUGUGUAAGUAACUGUGCACAUCUUGACGGUACCUAAUCAGAAAGCCACGGCUAACUACGU